UUGAACGCUGGCGGCAGGCUUAACACAUGCAAGUCGAGCGGUAACAGGAAUUAGCUUGCUAAUUUGCUGACGAGCGGCGGACGGGUGAGUAACGCGUAGGAAUCUGCCUGGUAGUGGGGGACAACAUGUGGAAACGCAUGCUAAUACCGCAUACGCCCUACGGGGGAAAGGAGGGGAUCUUCGGACCUUUCGCUAUCAGAUGAGCCUGCGUGAGAUUAGCUAGUUGGUGGGGUGAAGGCUCACCAAGGCGACGAUCUCUAGCUGGUCUGAGAGGAUGAUCAGCCACACUGGGACUGAGACACGGCCCAGACUCCUACGGGAGGCAGCAGUGGGGAAUAUUGGACAAUGGGGGAAACCCUGAUCUAGCCAUGCCGCGUGAGUGACGAAGGCCUUAGGGUCGUAAAGCUCUUUCAGCUGUGAAGAUAAUGACGGUAGCAGCAGAAGAAACCCCGGCUAACUCCGU
rnacentral:rRNA from 1 species